CAAUGGCUGCGCUCUAAUUGCGUUUAUCAUCGUAUACGUAGGGACAUCGAGAGCGAGGUGCCUUAAACUGAAAUUGUGGAUUUACGGUAUCCGAUACUUCGUCGCUGAAGGAUAGGAGGAUCAAGGGUGAUCCAUCGUCUACAAUCUUAAAUCUGAAAUAAUCGGCCAAAAGCGGGGUAUCUUACGGGAAAUUCGAAGUUUCUCGUAACGAACUCCAUUCCAUCAGCCAACACUCUCUUCUCGAGAGGAGGGGGAAAAAGGGAAAAAGUAUAUAUAACAAGCAUCUGGCUUCCUGUCGAUCACGCAUAGCUGCUGCGCGUCUCGCACCUCCCAGUAACAUUUAACAACACAUAUAAAUCGAGAAAACAGCGUUUGCGACAGUCAAUAUGUAGGCGGUACAUGAAUAAAGCAGAAAGCGUCAAAAUCACCACAGUCCGUCGAUUAAUUCGGUCAGCGCCUGCGUGUCACCGAUGCUCGGCUUUCCGCACGAUAUUAUUGGCGUAUAUAUGCGUCGUCGAGAGGAACCGACGAAUAAAACCCAUCGUUCGCGAUCAAAUGGAUUUUUCAGCGACUUGCUCGCAUUGCCUGCCUGCCCGGCCGCCUGAUGCAUGUACGUGCAUCGUCAUUAUCUCACGAUUGCAUUCUCGCUCUCCGAAUUGAAGUGGGGAGACACGCGAGGAGUAGUAUACUCGUCGAACAAGGACGAGCCUGAGAGGAGGCAGACUUCGAAAUGACGUCGGUUCUUGACGCUGGACGAAAUUUCGUGCAUAUCUGCGGCGUCGCUUCUCGGGACUCGUUGCUUGAAAGUCACUCGCUCAGGAACGACGAGCAGAGCCGCGUGUUGGAUGUCGAUCCGUGUUGGUUUGCGUGACAGUCCACGGUCCGAGCGUUCGACUUAUCGCCGCGGAGAAUCACGGAUGGUGGCGGUUCCUCAGCGUAUGUUCGCCGGCCGACGCGAGAUAUGAGUUUGCGGCUGCUGCUGCUCGGAAAAUUCUCCCACGGGAAGCACUCGUCGUUUCUUCGCAAGAGUGCCAGCGAUCAAGGACGCAAUCGAGGACUGGAGAGUAAAAAUGACGGUAAGCAUCCUUCUCGCGCGUCUAGGAACUUCCCUUGAAGUCGGCGCGAAGGUCGACCUCCCUCGCGACAGCUUCCAAGACUCGAUAAGAUUCACUCGGUUCACCGGGUACGUAGCGACGACACUAACCGCAAACGCCUCGUCGAAGUGAUGUCCGGAACGAGCUAGCGGUGAUCAAUAGCUGGGUCUAUUAUAUUCGUCUCGACGGUCGUUCUGUCGCUUCGGAACGUGACUUUCUUUGGAUUCGACACGUUGCCCUCGUCGACUCACUUCACCGAUCAUCAGCAGUCGAUCUGAAAGCAGAAGUAAGAAAACAACAUUCGAUGGUUAUGAACACUCACGCACCAGGUAUCACAUAUGCCUAUUUUUUUCCAUUACAGCUGAAGUUACUCGCACGAUGUUCAGUAUUACGUAAUCCGUGUGACUGAAAAUCGUAGGGAAUCUCAGCAAAUUUUACUUACACUGUUCUGUACUUGGGAAGAUCUGUGCCGGGAUACAGAAUAUUUUUUUCAGCAUAAUAUAAAGCUUUACAGCAUACGUAACAUGACGUUCAGUGAAUAUAUACAGCGUGAUACAGGCGAUCUAUAUUAUAUAUGAGUCACGAAAUAACGUUCCUGAUCUGAGCGACUUGGCGAUAAGCGAUAUUUUUCUCAUUACUUAGGUUUCUUGAAUCAUCAGGAAGCAUUUUCACCUUAUCGAUAAUAAAUAAUAUGAGCCGCAUACCCGAGCGAAAGAAUAUCUUCGAUUACGUAUCACCUUUCAUGUAUUUCUUUUUAAUAUUUUCCUCCCUGUGCUAUAAUUCCUAUCGAAAUAUAACCGAGCGUACAUGUAGUUGAAGUUUCAUCGUCGGCAAAAAUUUGUACAAUCAUGGUCGCACUUGAACUUUGUCGAUUAUGGAGAUCUUCCGGAUAGUCGUUUUCAGCAAACAAAUUUUUCCUAACGUGUCUAUCGUUCCACGGAGUGUGAAACUACUGUCAUUUGUUUGUAGUAAGCCACUGGAACUCUUAGCAGGAAUUUUAAUCUGUGUGAAUGUUCGCGCGCACUUAAUUUUUUUUCGUUUCUCUUGUUUAUUUAACGUAAAUAUUGACACAAUUUCAUUCUUUUUUGCAUAUUUUAAUGUUUUUACUGAGAUCAAACAUGAAGAAAACUAUUUCAAUUUUCGCUCAAAGAUCAUUCGAAACUUCAAUUACUUGUACUUAUACUCUAUUCUCACUUUAUUCGUAUUAUAAUCGAUACAAAACCACAUUGUGACGUGUUGAGUAAACUGCGAAGCGAUUGCCACAUUGCGAUUGUAUCGACCCGUAAUUAUGAUAACGUAAACAAAUUGCUCGCGCCGUCUUAUAUAAUGAGUUUUACGCAACCUGUCACGUGUUCAUUCUACGCCGCGCAGUUUCCGAGAUCCAGAGAACGCGGGGCAGUUUGUACACGAGUCGCUUAAAAAUGUAAUAGAAUCAACGCGCCGCAGUCUACUCAUGCUCGGCCGUGUAAUUUGCGUAAUUUUCCCAUCUUCCUCCAAUAAAAAUGUCAUUUUCCAGAUGGCAAUAAUCAUAUUUUAACUAUGACCACUUUAAUUACUAAGAAUAAUCAUCUACGUCGUUCACAUCGGCGAUAAAAAAGUAUCUCGUAAUCGCUAUUUACUGCAAUCGCGAUCCGCCGUCGGCAAAGAAUGUCAAUGGUGACGAGAUAAUGUAGGAAAAAAAAGAAGAAAAGGCGCGGACUGUUCCGUGUCACUUGAUUGGAUUCGCAACGAUGCCGACGUAAAUCACUUCGUUUUAUUACUAUUGACAAAACGACGCUGCACUGAGAACAUACAACACGGGAAGGCAGUCUUACAUUCAAUUACACUCGAAACUGUCGCAUUUAUUGCGGUAUUAUCGAGCGACACCGUUUACUCGCGUUCACGAUGUAGUAACGACGAAUUUAUAAUUUAUUUAUUAUUGCGCUAUCACACACUAGACCCGUGUAUAUGAAUGUACAGGUAUUAUAUCAAUAACUUGAUUGUGUAUCUAUAUAUAGAGGCUAUAUAAUAGAGGCUUUACUUGUUUUUAAACUUA